AUCAUGCCACGUGUCAAGU
rnacentral:snRNA from 1 species